rnacentral:tRNA from 1 species
UCCCUGGUGGCCUAAAGGUUAAGGAUCUAGCAUUGUCACUGCUGUAGUCUGGGUUCGAUCCCUGGCCCAGGAA